rnacentral:lncRNA from 1 species
UGCCGUGGUUGAUGAUUUGGAAGAAACCGUAGGUUCGUGCGGCGUCUGUGAGUUUCUGGACGGCGGUGGAGCGGCGGCCGGCGAGGUUGAUGAGAGGAAUGGUGAUGGGUUUUGGAGAAGAAGGUGGGCGGAGUGUGGAGAGAAUUUCAGGGGGUUGUAUGAACAUGGUGGGGAGGGAGGUCAGGGAUGAAUCGCAGAGGCCUUUUACUCCAGCCUUCGAUUCAUCAAAUUCUUUUACUUGUUCCAAAUGAUUAACCAUUUUCUUCCUCUCCUUUUUUUCUAAUUUUUUUCUUCUGAUUUUCAAAG